rnacentral:rRNA from 1 species
GAUGAACGCUAGCGGCAGGCUUAAUACAUGCAAGUCGUGGGGCAGCAGCUCUGUAGCAAUACAGAGGCUGGCGACCGGCAAACGGGUGCGGAACACGUACGCAACCUUCCUUUAACUGGAGAAUAGCCCCUCGAAAGAGGGAUUAAUACUCCGUAACAUAUUGAUAAGGCAUCUUAUUAAUAUUAUAGCUCCGGCGGUUAAAGAUGGGCGUGCGCCUGAUUAGAUAGUUGGCGGGGUAACGGCCCACCAAGUCUGCGAUCAGUAACUGGUGUGAGAGCACGACCAGUCACACGGGCACUGAGACACGGGCCCACUCCUACGGGAGGCAGCAGUAAGGAAUAUUGGUCAAUGGACGCAAAGUCUGAACCAGCCAUGCCGCGUGGA